UAGUCUUUGCCACCGGGUAAAGAAUUUCAGGUGUUCUGAAACAUUCCGUUAGGUCUUAGAAGGAAUGUUCGGAACACCUUUUUUGA
rnacentral:ncRNA from 1 species